rnacentral:lncRNA from 1 species
AAGAAGGACGGUGACCGCCUACAAUUUUGUUACCUUAAGUGUCGCAGGUGCGCUCCUCCUCCUCCUUUUCUGUAUAAAGUUACUUUUCACCUGUACUCCUUUACUCAGCUCGUGCGAGUCAGAUCUGUGGGGUUUCAAGAGCUACCUACAACCAGAUCGACGUGAGACUCGCUACUCUUUGGGGCUUCUUCCAGAUCUGCUCUGAUGUGCAAAGUUAGUACUCUGCUGACUCUGCUCUAAUUUAUGGAAACAGUAUUCAAGCUGUUUGGCUCUUAGAAAAGUCUUGUCCAAUACCAUCUGGGUGGUACUUCCUCUUAAUUAAUUUGCUCUGGAUGUUCUCAAAUCUAAGAGGGGUUCCUUCUUGGCAAUUAAAUGAGGUAUUCGGGCUCUUGGCUGCUUCUAG